rnacentral:rRNA from 1 species
GCCGAUGAAGGACGUUACUAACGACGAUAUGCUUUGGGUAGCUGUAAGUAAGCGUUGAUCCAGAGAUUUCCGAAUGGGGGAACCCAGCAUGAGUUAUGUCAUGUUAUCGACAUGUGAAUUCAUAGCAUGUCAGAAGGCAGACCCGGAGAACUGAAACAUCUUAGUACCCGGAGGAAGAGAAAGAAAAAUCGAUUCCCUGAGUAGCGGCGAGCGAAACGGGAAUAGCCCAAACCAACAAGCUUGCUUGUUGGGGUUGUAGGACACUCUAUACGGAGUUACAAAAGAACAUGUUAGACGAAUCAUCUGGAAAGAUGAAUCAAAGAAGGUAAUAAUCCUGUAGUCGAAAACAUAUUCUCUCUUGAGUGGAUCCUGAGUACGACGGAGCACGUGAAAUUCCGUCGGAAUCUGGGAGGACCAUCUCCUAAGGCUAAAUACUCUCUAGUGACCGAUAGUGAACCAGUACCGUGAGGGAAAGGUGAAAAGUACCCCGGAAGGGGAGUGAAAGAGAACUUGAAACCGUGUGCUUACAAGUAGUCAGAGCCCGUUAAUGGGUGAUGGCGUGCCUUUUGUAGAAUGAACCGGCGAGUUACGAUCUGAUGCAAGGUUAAGCAGCAAAUGUGGAGCCGCAGCGAAAGCGAGUCUGAAUAGGGCGUUGAGUAUUUGGUCGUAGACCCGAAACCAGGUGAUCUACCCUUGGUCAGGUUGAAGUUCAGGUAACACUGAAUGGAGGACCGAACCGACUUACGUUGAAAAGUGAGCGGAUGAACUGAGGGUAGCGGAGAAAUUCCAAUCGAACUUGGAGAUAGCUGGUUCUCUCCGAAAUAGCUUUAGGGCUAGCCUCAAGUGAUGAUUAUUGGAGGUAGAGCACUGUUUGGACGAGGGGCCCCUCUCGGGUUACCGAAUUCAGACAAACUCCGAAUGCCAAUUAAUUUAACUUGGGAGUCAGAACAUGGGUGAUAAGGUCCGUGUUCGAAAGGGAAACAGCCCAGACCACCAGCUAAGGUCCCAAAAUAUAUG